AUGGAUACAACUCCAUUGAUCAUGUCAAGUCCUUUUAACUUCGGGACAUUCCAAAGAAACCUGUGAAAACAGGAAACAAGUGGGAGUUUUGUAGAAUUAUAAGAUUGUGGAGAAACUUCUAAUUGCUGCCAUUGCAGAUGCUGAUGUUAGUGUUCGUCAGUCAGUCUUUCUAUCUCUGCAUGGAAAUGGAGGUUUCGAUGAAUUUUUGGCACAGGCUGAUAGUUUGAGUGCUAUCUUUGUUGCUCUAAAUGAUGAGGAUUUUGAUGUUCGAGAGUUUGCUAUAUCAGUUGCUGGCAGAUUGUCUGAAAAGAAUCCAGCAUCUGUUCUGCCUGCACUUUGUCACCAUCUCAUACAAUUGUUGAUGCAUCUUGAGCAAAGGUAAUCUGAAAGAUAUCUACUUUCCAAUA